UACGGAGGGUCCAAGCGUUGUCCGGAAUCAUUGGGUGUAAAGGGUGUGUAGGCGGGCCUGCAAGUCAGGGGUGAAAGCCCACAGCUUAACUGUGGAAUUGCCUUUGAUACUGCAGGUCUUGAGUCCUGGAGAGGCUACUAGAAUUCGUGGUGUAGCGGUGAAAUGCGUAGAUAUCACGAGGAAUACCAGAGGCGUAGGCGGGUAGCUGGACAGGAACUGACGCUGAGGCACGAAAGCGUGGGGAGCGAACAGG
rnacentral:ncRNA from 2 species